AAAUUAUUAUUCUUAUGUUAAAAAGCUGGAACACAGCAUUUGCUGAGAAGUGAGGAAGUCAAACUCAUUCUCCUCCCUGAUACAUAUAAUGUGGACGAGGUAAUAGCAAAUGUACUUGUCUCCAUAUCUGUACAUGCCCAUAAAAUAUCCCUAUAAUAAUUGCCCUAUUUCACUAUGACGUCACUUCUUGAUUAUGUGGGGGAUAGAAUUGCCAAAUCCUAUAGAAAAUUCAACAAAAUUUGCUCCUAGCGAAACAGAUUAGUCUAAAAUGGCCUUGUUUUCAGAUAAAAUAAUAUUCUGAGCGUUUACUAGCUAUUCUACUUCUCUUCGUUGAUUGAUAUAAUUUUCGGUGAAUUUGCGUUGAUUUGACCCCGUCCAACGACCAUGAUCCUUUCCGUUUAAACAAUAGAUUGUUGAAUAUUGUUUUGUUGUGAUGUCAUAUUGAAUUUGGGCAAUCAUAUUAACCCUUUGAAUUCUAAAAUCCAGAAACUUCACAUAAAUGAUUGUGAGCACAAUUUUUNGUCAACUUUCUAAAGAGCUCUAGGAAUACAGGCAGAAUAAUGAGUUUGGACCUUAAUACUCGAAGGGUUAAAUGAAAGAAUACGGAUAAAAUGUAUAUAUUUUUAAAAACAUGACGUUUUGGCUAUAACUUGUGAUGGCCUUCUUCAGAACAAAUAUAUAGUGUACAUAUAUAAUUGCUUAUUUAUAUUCCACAGGCAUGCCAACAAGCGAUUCACCUAGGGCGUUCUAUUCUCUUCAUCAUUGGAACAACAGUCUUCACUUUAAACUUGUAUUUUUGGACUGACACGAUUGUUCUCACAUUUUGAACAAAUAUCCAAAAAUAAAGACAGUAUUUCCACAAAUAUGUACAUAUUUAAUGAUAUCAACAAGUAUGUAUACAAAAAACGUGUAUAUAGUAGGGAGGCCUUGGUUUGAGUCAUUCAUGAACAGGCAUCAAAGACGUACAAACCAGAUAAGAGUGACAGAAAAAAAUAAAUUGUUCCUGGUAAAAUGUACAUUGCAAUGGAAAACUACCACACCUGGGGCUUUCAACUAUGAUAAAAUGCUUGUUUACAAGGGGAUUACAAGAUUUUUUCUAAUGGUCUUUAAAAAAUGAACAAAAUGUAGUUCUAUUUCAUUGUGAAAUGGUAUUAAUGAACAAUUUAUAUGAUCCCAUGAGAACACACCAAGCACAACAAAGACUUUUGGACAAAUUAAUGAUUUUCUAUUCAAUUAUUGAUGUUUAGAAUACAAACGGGACAAAACCUAAUUAUAAUAAUAGUAUUUACAUAAUAUUGUACUCCAUUGGUACCUAAACUCCACAAGGACAUAAAUUUAUGUGUUUGGGCCUGAAUACCACAAGGACAUAAAUUUAUGUGUUUGGGCUUGAACUCCACAAAGACAUAAAUUUAUGUGUUUCGGCCUGAACUCCACAAAGACAUAAAUUUAUGUGGUUAGGCCUGAACUUCACAAGGACAUAAAUUUAUGUGAUUCGGCCUGAACUCCACAAGGACAUAAAUUUAUGUGUUUCGGCCUGAACUCCACAAAGACAUAAAGUCAAAUAGAUCUCAGAACGUUUAGCUCUAUAUAUAAAUGCAAAAGCUCAUGUGCUUUGUAAAUAUCGAUGCUGUUCACUGUUUGUGAAUUNAACUUGUUUAUUUUCUUGCUGCAAGUUCGUACGUUGCACUUUAUACUUUAUACCAACCAAAAGUAACUUAAGCGUUUCGUAUACUAGUAAAGCCGAAGCUGCUGGAUUGCAAUAAAGUCUUGUAAUGCGGCGGUCACGCUUUCGUUAUCUACGGGCCAUGAUACUGUCCAUUCAGUCUAGGUCUGCAUCCAGAAACUUNAACAUUUAUAGAAGCAAAUUAAUAGAUGUAUUAUGUAGAAAGUCUUGUAUGAGUCCAACAGAAUGACGGUUAUAGUUACUAGGAAUUAAUUGGGUUCAGUUAAACGAAGUUCACGUCCGUUACGUACGAGUAUUCAACAUAUUCAACAUCAUCUUGUUUCAUCAUGCCACAUGUCGAUAAAGUGAAACUUUGUCUUGUCAUAAACCACAUUUUGAUUCCAAACGCUUCAUAGAUUAUCCAAUACAGUAAUAGCGAAAGGAAUAAAUUGCUCACAAUGUAAAUCGUCUUUGGUAGAAAUGUCGUUGCUAGUGAUAUGAGCCAAUAUUUUUAAACAAGUUUGACCUCGGUACUGUCAAACAAAUGUCAAAACACCGCUUCCGGUUGCGGUGCGUAUCUCUUGAUUAAACGAAUGUUUUCAUAGGUUAGUUUUUAACUCUCGGAUAUGCGAAACGUACUCGAAGCGUAGAAACGAGACGUUAAAAUCAUACGAGAUGGGCAGCAUCUUUUUUGAAGAUUCGAUAAAAAUCUAGCCUCUCUCUAUACUUCUUCGAUCGACAAUAUAUGUCAACAAGGAAAGCGUUUCAUUUUUCAUCAAUAAAUAUAUUUACACGUUGAAUCGUAAGACUGUCCGAGCAAAAUAUAUACCAGAAAGAAAUCGUUUCCAAUAGUAGUAAAAUAAUCGAACAAUACUAAAACUACCGUAAUGAAAUAUUGAAUUAUUCGAAUUUUCCAGAGCCAUGAACACAUUUUGCACGGGAAAAUGUCGUGAGCCAGCUAUCAUGGCAGGCCACACCAACACACUGACGCGUGUAAUGCACCGUCAUAUUUAGCAAGGAAUAAUUAAACGUGAUCAUGAAUUGAAAUUAAUAAUAUGUCAGUAUAGAGCAUUUACUUUCCUCACUUGCUCUCCUAGAAGUAGAAUAUAUAAAACCAAGACAGUAUUUAUUUGAUCUUGAGGACGACGGUCAAAGGUCUUUGGUAUUGUACCAUGCUUGAUAUUUACAGUGUACAUUGUAAAUGCAACGUGAAUCGAGCUAUAAAGUUAUUAUUAUUUCACUCAGCCAACUUAUUAUUUAUUUGCUCAGUUUUAUAGUAAAUUAGAUAAGAAUAUGAGUCCCCGACUUUAAAUUCACCGAUUAAACUAGGUUAUGAACAAAGGUGAACCAAUCUGCAUGAAUUUGUUUAGUCAUUUGAUAAUGCUGGUUAUGACCCAUGGUGGUCCAUUAUGUGAACUAUGGACUGGAACCUGGACUGGAGUAUUUCAAAAAGCCGUCAAAAGUGUCCAUGACAUUCGAACAGUGACCUGUGUUAUUUCUUUUGCUUUCCGUCCUUCGAUCAAACUGUGAGGAAGUGUAUUGUCUUCUCUGUCGAACGCCUUCUCUUGGCCUUAUCGUUUAUAUAUCAUGUAUAAAAUUUUGGAAAAGCCUGCGUCAAUGCCUCAAACGAUGGCAUUUCAAAAAAACAGCGACGGGGGAAUUAACUAGAAAUAUCCUACACGUGGAGAUCCGGCAAUUCAAAAAGACCAGGAUGUACUGUUGAUAACUUACGAAAAUAUUAUGGCCGUCCGGUGAAUCGAAAUUUUAUUUAAAAUUACAAAAUCUAAAGCGACCAAAUUUGCUGUACUGUUUGCAAACUCGACUUCAAGCAACAAGGUUCAGGCACAUAAAUUUAUGUAACGUAGGUUCAGGCACAUAAAUUUAUGUAACGUAGGUUGAGACACAUAAAUUUAUGUAACGUAGGUUGAGGCACAUAAAUUUAUGUAACGUAGGUUGAGGCACAUAAAUUUAUGUAACGUAGGUUCAGGCACAUAAAUUUAUGUAACGUAGGUUCAGGCACAUAAAUUUAUGUAACGUAGGUUCAGGCACAUAAAUUUAUGUAACAUUGUUUCUUAAACCUACUUAAUGGACACAAACAAACAAAAUAUGUAUUUUCUAUGUUGUGUAUACCUCCUAUUGUGCAAUAUUAAAAUAAAUGGAAAUAUGAAGUGAAAUAAAA
rnacentral:lncRNA from 1 species